GGGCCCGUAGCUCAGUUGGUCAGAGCAGCGGACUCAUAAUCCGUCAGGCGCAGGUUCGAAUCCUGCCGGGCCCA
rnacentral:tRNA from 1 species